rnacentral:rRNA from 1 species
CGGAGUGGCGAACGGGUGAGUAACAUAUCGGAACGUACCGAGUAAUGGGGGAUAACUAAUCGAAAGAUUAGUUAAUACCGCAUAUUCUCUGAGGAGGAAAGCAGGGGACCUUCGGGCCUUGCGUUAUUCGAGCGGCCGAUAUCUGAUUAGCUAGUUGGUGGGGUAAAGGCCUACCAAGGCGACGAUCAGUAGCGGGUCUGAGAGGAUGAUCCGCCACACUGGGACUGAGACACGGCCCAG